rnacentral:rRNA from 1 species
UCAAGAAACUUCCACAAUGGGCGAAAGCCUGAUGGAGCGACGUCGCGUGAUGGACGAAGUGCUUCGGCACGUAAACAUCUUUUAUGUGGGAUGAAAUUAUUGACAGUACCACAUGAAUAAGGGGCUCCUAACUCUGUGCCAGCAGGAGCGGUAAUACAGAGGCCCCAAGCGUUAUCCGGAAUCACUGGGCGUAAAGGGUGUCGAGGCGGUUGUAUUAGUCGUUCGUAAAAUCUACGAGCUUAACUUGUAGGCGGCGAACGAAACGGUACGACUUGAGGUUUGGAGAGGUGCGUGGAACUCACGGUGUAGGGGUGAAAUCCGUUGAUAUCGUGGGGAACACCAAAGGCGAAGGCAGCGCACUGGCCAAAUCUGACGCUCACACACGAAAGCUAGGGUAGCGAAGAGGAUUAGAUACCCCGGUAGUCCCUGAGCGGGCUGGCAAGGCGCAU